GCGGGUGUGUGGCGGUGGGGGGUCGCAGAGAAUAGGGAGAAGCGACUGUUUACUAAAAACACAGGUGCGUGCGAAGUCGCAAGACGAUGUAUACGCACUGACGCCUGCCCGGUGCUGGAAGGUUAAGAGGAAGGCUCAACCCGCUUCGGUGGGUGAAGGCUUGAAUUUAAGCCCCAGUAAACGGCGGUGGUAACUAUAACCAUCCUAAGGUAGCGAAAUUCCUUGUCGGGUAAGUUCCGACCUGCACGAAUGGCGUAACGACUUCUCCGCUGUCUCGACCAUGAACUCGGCGAAAUUGCAGUACGAGUAAAGAUGCUCGUUUAGCGCAGCAGGACGGAAAGACCCCGGGACCUUUACUAUAGCUUGGUAUUGGUGUUCGCUUGUGCUUGUGUAGGAUAGGUGGGAGACUGGGAAGUCGCGGCGCCAGCCGUGGUGGAGUCAUCGUUGAAAUACCACUCUGGUUCAAGUGUGCACCUGAACCUUGGCCCGUGAUCCGGGUUGGGGACAGUGCCUGGUGGGUAGUUUAACUGGGGCGGUUGCCUCCUAAAAUGUAACGGAGGCGCUCAAAGGUUCCCUCAGCCUGGUUGGCAAUCAGGUGGCGAGUGCAAGUGCACAAGGGAGCUUGACUGUGAGACCGACAGGUCGAGCAGGUGCGAAAGCAGGAACUAGUGAUCCGGCCAUGGCACGUGGGUGCGUGGUCGCUCAACGGAUAAAAGGUACCCCGGGGAUAACAGGCUGAUCUUGCCCAAGAGUCCAUAUCGACGGCAUGGUUUGGCACCUCGAUGUCGGCUCGUCGCAUCCUGGGGCUGGAGUUGGUCCCAAGGGUUGGGCUGUUCGCCCAUUAAAGCGGUACGCGAGCUGGGUUUAGAACGUCGUGAGACAGUUCGGUCCCUAUCCGCUGCGCUCGUAGGAAACUUGAAGGAGGGCCGUCCCCAGUACGAGAGGACCGGGAUGGACGAACCUCUGGUGUGCCAGUUGUACCGCCAGGUGCAUGGCUGGUUGGCUACGUUCGGGAGGGAUAACCGCUGAAAGCAUCUAAGCGGGAAGCCUGCUCCAAGAUGAGGUUUCCGACCCACCCACGCCGCCAGCGUUCGUCCUGAGCCAGGAUCAAACUCUCCGAACAAAAACAUUCAGAAAAACCCACCCAGCCACAAAAGCAGCCAAGCAAGCAAAUCCCAACCAAAAAACCAC
rnacentral:rRNA from 1 species